rnacentral:rRNA from 2 species
CUACACAUGCAAGUCGAGCGGAAGGCCCUUCGGGGUACUCGAGCGGCGAACGGGUGAGUAACACGUGAGUAAUCUGCCCUUGGCUUUGGGAUAACUACCGGAAACGGUGGCUAAUACCGGAUACGACACAGGUGUGCAUGCGCUCUGUGUGGAAAGUUUUUUCGGCCAGGGAUGUGCUCGCGGCCUAUCAGCUUGUUGGUGGGGUAAUGGCCUACCAAGGCUUCGACGGGUAGCCGGCCUGAGAGGGUGACCGGCCACACUGGGACUGAGACACGGCCCAGACUCCUACGGGAGGCAGCAGUGGGGAAUAUUGGACAAUGGGCGGAAGCCUGAUCCAGCAACGCCGCGUGAGGGAUGACGGCCUUCGGGUUGUAAACCUCUUUCAGUACCGACGAAGCGCCGAUGAUGGUGGUGACGGUAGGUACAGAAGAAGCACCGGCCAACUACGUGCCAGCAGCCGCGGUAAUACGUAGGGUGCGAGCGUUGUCCGGAAUUAUUGGGCGUAAAGGGCUCGUAGGCGGUUUGUCGCGUCGGGAGUGAAAACCCAGGGCUUAACUCUGGGCUUGCUUUCGAUACGGGCAGACUAGAGGUAUGCAGGGGAGAACGGAAUUCCUGGUGUAGCGGUGAAAUGCGCAGAUAUCAGGAGGAACACCGGUGGCGAAGGCGGUUCUCUGGGCAUUACCUGACGCUGAGGAGCGAAAGUGUGGGGAGCGAACAGGAUUAGAUACCCUGGUAGUCCACACCGU